rnacentral:lncRNA from 1 species
GUUUUCAAGCCCUUUUCAUUAGUUUUCCUGUAAAAAAAUUAGACUUUUUUCCAAAAAAAAAUAUGUGCUUUUUUAUGGUAUUUAGUCAAUUUUACAAAUUUGUACAAACUUCAUCAUAUAAUCCAUUUGCUUUCACCUAUGCCUCACCGUAGAAUUUGAGAAUUUAUGUAAAACUUUAUGCUAAUAUUCUUGAGGGUGGAACCCUAUAUUAGCAAUAUUUUGGGCCUCACAACUAUUUAUUCCACUUAUUAUUAGUCGGUUUUGUAAUUUUGUACAAAGUUCAUUAUGGAAUCCAUUUACUUUCACCUCCACCUCACCAUGCAGUUUCGAAAACUCGUGUAAGACUUUUCAUUGAUAUUCUUAAGUGUGAAACCCUAUGUCGCAACAUUUUGGGCCUCACUACUAUUUUUUCCGAAAUCAAUAUGGGCUAGGGUUUAGUUUUAAUCGCAUGAGUCAACCAUUGUUGCCCGUACAAACCAUUGGUAUCGAGGGUAAGACAUUUAUAGGAGGUAGGGUUUAGUUUUAAUCUCAUGGAUGGACGAUUGUUGCCUGCAUGAAGCAUUGGUGUUGGGGGUGGACAUUUAUAAGCUGCCAAUAAUAGUGGUAGGGUCUAGUUUUAAUCUUAGGGAUCAACUAUAGUUGGCCGGCGAAACAUUGUUGCCGUGGGUGGGACAUUUAUAAGCUGCUAUUUAUCUUUUUGUUAAAAUUUCAUGUACCGUAACACCAAACUAUCAUCUCCAUGCUCUACAAAAUGUAUUUUCGGUGAAGAUUUUCUUAUAAUCCAUGUCAAAACAAUUGAAAACAAGGAUAUAAAUAUAAAUCUAAAAGUAUUUGAAUUAUAAAUAAAGUAAGAUAGGAAGAAAAAAAAAUUAAUAGAAAAUUAAAUAAUCGGUACUUUGUUACCGAUAUUCUAUAAUAUAGUCGCUAAAAAUAUAUUGAUUGGCUGAGAUUCUAGUCGCUAUAUGGAUAGCGACUAAAUUUCUUACGAGUCACUAGCAUUUUACCGAUCCCCACUUUUCAAUUUUUUUUCUGUUUACUUUUGUUAAUUUUUCUUUUAUUUCUCUUACCAUAACAACAAACCAUGUCACAGCCCGUCCUGGAAAAUUUUAUCGAUGGUGUAAAAGGACGGUUUUACCCUUAAACGUGGGUAGCAGUGUGCGUGCGUGACUUAGGUUUAGGUCCAAGUUAUUUUCCUAAGUAUGUGGAACUAAUUGGAAUUAAGUUGUUUGGUUGGUUGGAGUGGACAAUUUUGGACCACUCACACUCCAACUCCCUCUCUCUCUCCUUCCCGUGCACUCUCUCUCUCAUCCCUCUCGAUUUUCUUUUGUUUCCGUCAACUUUGUACAGACGAACGCCAAACUCACAUUUCACGCACAGAUCGACGUUAAAAAGGUAAUGUUCUUGUUCCCUACAAGCUCUUGAGUUCCUUCGUACCAUUUUUAGGACUUGAAAACUUGUAAAACCCGAGAAAUCAUCACCCCCGAUUUGAGUAUUGUUCACAUGGUCGUAAUUAUGGAUGUUUCAGGGAAUUUUAAGCUCGUAGGAAGCUUUAGGACGUUCCUACAAAGCUCGGAUGACAAAAACCAUAACAACAAACCAUGUCACAGCCCAUCCUGGAAAAUUUUAUCGAUGGUGUAAAAGGACAGUUUUACCCUUAAACGUGGGUAGCGGUGUGCGUACAUGACUUAGGUUUAGGUCCAAGCUAUUUUCCUAAGUAUGUGGAACUAAUUGGAAUUAAGUUGUUUGGUUGUUUUGGUUGGUUGGAGUGGACAAUUUUGGACCACACACUCCAACUCCCUUUUUCUCUCCUUCCCGUGCAUUCUCUCUCUCCUCCCUCUCGAUUUUCUUCUAUUUCCGUCAACUUUAUACGGACGAACGCCAAACUCACAUUUCAUGCACAGAUCGACGUUAAAAAGGCAAUGUUCUUGUUCCCUACAAGCUCUUGAGUUCCUUCGUACCAUUUUUAGGACUUGAAAACUUGUAAAACCCGAGAAAUCAUCACCCCCGAUUUGAGUACUGUUCACAUGGUCGUAAUUAUGGAUGUUUCAGGGGAUUUUAAGCUCGUAGGAAGCUUUAGGACGUUCCUACGAAGCUCGGAUGACAAAAACCAAGCAAAUUGGACGUCGGGAAGUUGAGUUUGGUGAGUUUGAAAGUUCGCCGGAAUUAUUGUGUCUUCUCCGACGAGAUCCUGUGACUUUUGGAGUUUAAAAUUGGUAAGAAUGUGUUCUAAUCAUUGUAAGCUUUAAAUUGGUUUAUGUUUCAUGAAUUUUGGUUGAGAAAUGGACGAGAAAUGAAGAUUUGAAAAAUUCCCAGUUUUCCGGUGACGGCGACGUCGCCGGAGUUCAAAGGUCGUCGUCGUCGGAGUUCAAAGGUAGGGGAUGAUGGAAUAUUCCGUCAACUUUGACGGAAUAUUCCUAACGGCGUUGGUUAGUUUUAACGGUUCCUGUUACUUUUUAACGGAAUAUUCCUAACGGGGUUAAGGGAUUCCGUUAGGGUCCCUGCGCAUGUUGCCCUACCCUUGUGGUGACACCGGCUAGAUUGAUUGAUGAGCUAUGAAUUCAGAUGUACAGACCUCUGUAGGGGUUCCAGCUCAUAUAUUGUUAUUCAUGAACUUAAUUGCACCUGAGUUACUUAUUUCGUUUUAUAUUUGGCAUGGCAUACUUAUGUUUAUGGUUAUGUGAAGCAUGAUUUGAAUACAUAUAUUAAUAUAUUUAUAUUCUAUUUCUGGGAAAAUUAUACAUUUUUUUACGGUGAGGGGUUAGAGCUUUUGAUAAUGAAUGGUUUUGAAAAGCUUUGUUUUUGCCCACUCACGUUUUAUGUUUUGCGCCCCUCCAGGUUUUAGGUAGGCUUGCUGUUAGUGGCAUUGAGGAUCUCGGCAGUCUGACAAAAUAUAUAUUUAGUAGGACAUCUUAUGGUACUGUAUAACAGUACUUGUCCUACUAGACUGCACCUAGACUUUCUAUGCUCUGAUUAGGUGUAUUCACACUUGUAUCCCAUUUCUAAUACUUUCUGCUUAUAAGUGCACAUUAGUAGCUUUCGGUUUUUAUUU